rnacentral:rRNA from 1 species
UACGUAGGUGGCGAGCGUUGUCCGGAUUUACUGGGCGUAAAGAGCGCGCAGGCGGUCGUACAAGUCGCGUGUGAAAGCCCCCGGCUCAACUGGGGAGGGUCACGCGAUACUGUUCGACUCGAAGGCAGGAGAGGGAAGUGGAAUUCCCGGUGUAGUGGUGAAAUGCGUAGAUAUCGGGAGGAACACCUGUGGCGAAGGCGGCCCCCUGGUUGGAUACUGACGCUGAGACGCGAAAGCGUGGGGAGCAAACAGG